rnacentral:rRNA from 1 species
UACAGAGGGUGCGAGCGUUAAUCGGAAUUACUGGGCGUAAAGCGUGCGUAGACGGUUAUUUAAGUCGGGUGUGAAAGCCCCGGGCUCAACCUGGGAAUUGCAUUCGAGACUGAAUAGCUAGGGUACGGUAGAGGGAAGUGGAAUUUCCGGUGUAGCGGUGAAAUGCGUAGAUAUCCGGAAGAACACCCGUGGCGAAGGCGGCUCUCUGGGACGGUACUGACGCUGAGACGCGAAAGCGUGGGGAGCAAACAGG